rnacentral:tRNA from 1 species
GCGCGGGUGGUGAAACGGCAAACACACUACCUUGAGGUGGUAGCGCCCGUAAGGGCUUGGAGGUUCAACUCCUCUCCCGCGCA